rnacentral:rRNA from 1 species
CAUGCAAGUCGAACGGAAACCUUCGGGUUUUAGUGGCGAACGGGUGAGUAACACGUAAGCAACCUGCCCUUAAGACGAGGAUAACAAUUGGAAACAGUUGCUAAGACUGGAUAGGAAAAGUAAAGGCAUCUUUACUUUUUUAAAAGACCUUCUUUGAAGGUAUGCUUAAGGAGGGGCUUGCGACACAUUAGUUAGUUGGCAGGGUAAAUGCCUACCAAGACUAUGAUGUGUAGCUGGACUGAGAGGUUAAACAGCCACAUUGGGACUGAGACACGGCCCAAACUCCUACGGGAGGCAGCAGUAGGGAAUUUUCGGCAAUGGAGGAAACUCUGACCGAGCAACGCCGCGUGAACGAUGAAGUACCUCGGUAUGUAAAGUUCUUUUAUUAAGGAAGAAAAAAGAGUGGAAAAACUCCCUUGACGGUACUUAAUGAAUAAGCCCCGGCUAAUUAUGUGCCAGCAGCCGCGGUAAUACAUAAGGGGCGAGCGUUAUCCGGAAUUAUUGGGCGUAAAGGGUGCGUAGGCGGUUUAAUAAGUCUAUAGUUUAAUUUCAGUGCUUAACGCUGUUGUGCUAUAGAAACUGUUUUACUAGAGUGAGUUAGAGGCAAGCGGAAUUCCAUGUGUAGCGGUAAAAUGCGUAAAUAUAUGGAGGAACACCAGAGGCGUAGGCGGCUUGCUGGGACUUUACUGACGCUGAGGCACGAAAGCGUGGGGAGCAAACAGGAUUAGAUACCCUGGUAGUCCACGCCGUAAACGAUGAGUACUAAGUGUCGGGUAAAACCGGUACUGAAGUUAACACAUUAAGUACUCCGCCUGAGUAGUACGUACGCAAGUAUGAAACUUAAAGGAAUUGACGGGACUCCGCACAAGCGGUGGAUCAUGUUGUUUAAUUCGAAGAUACACGAAAAACCUUACCAGGUCUUGACAUUUUCUUGCGAAGUUAUAGAAAUAUAAUGGAGGUUAUCAGGAAAACAGGUGGUGCAUGGUUGUCGUCAGCUCGUGUCGUGAGAUGUUAGGUUAAGUCCUAAAACGAGCGCAACCCUUGUCGUUAAUUGCCAGCAUGUAAUGAUGGGGACUUUAACGAGACUGCCAAUGAAAAAUUGGAGGAAGGUGGGGAUUACGUCAAAUCAUCAUGCCCCUUAUGAUCUGGGCUACAAACGUGAUACAAUGGUUGAUACAAAGAGUAGCUGAAACGCGAGUUCUUAGCCAAUCUCACAAAAUCAAUCUCAGUUCGGAUUGAAGUCUGCAACUCGACUUCAUGAAGUUGGAAUCGCUAGUAAUCGCGAAUCAGCAUGUCGCGGUGAAUACGUUCUCGGGGUUUGUACACACCGCCCGUCAAACCACGAAAGUUGGCAAUACCCCAAAGCGGUCACCUAACUUCGCAAGAAGAAGGAUCCGUCUAAGGUAGGGUCGAUGAUUGGGGUUAAG